AUACGGAGGGUCCGAGCGUUAAUCGGAGUUACUGGGCGUAAAGCGUACGUAGGUGGCUUGAUUAGUCGGAUGUGAAAGCCCUGGGCUCAACCUGGGAACUGCAUUCGAUACUGUCUGGCUAGAGUAUAGUAGAGGCAAGUGGAAUUCCGGGUGUAGCGGUGAAAUGCGUAGAUAUCCGGAGGAACACCAGUGGCGAAGGCGGCUUGCUGGACUAAUACUGACACUGAGGUACGAAAGCGUGGGGAGCAAACAGGAUUAGAUACCCCGGUAGUCC
rnacentral:rRNA from 1 species